CCUACGGGCGGCAGCAGUGGGGAAUAUUGCACAAUGGGGGAAACCCUGAUGCAGCGACGCCGCGUGAGUGAAGAAGUACUUCGGUAUGUAAAGCUCUAUCAGCAGGGAAGAAAAUGACGGUACCUGAAUAAGAAGCCCCGGCUAACUACGUGCCAGCAGCCGCGGUAAUACGUAGGGGGCAAGCGUUAUCCGGAUUUACUGGGUGUAAAGGGAGCGUAGACGGGAGAGCAAGUCUGAAGUGAAAUGCCGGGGCUUAACCCCGUAACUGCUAUGGAAACUGUGCAGCUAGAGUGCAGGAGAGGUAGGUGGAAUUCCUAGUGUAGCGGUGAAAUGCGUAGAUAUUAGGAGGAACACCAGUGGCGAAGGCGGCUUGCUGGACUGUAACUGACGUUGAGGCUCGAAAGCGUGGGGAGCAAACAGGAUUAGAUACCCGGGUAGUC
rnacentral:rRNA from 1 species